UACGAAGGGGGCUAGCGUUGUUCGGAAUUACCGGGCGUAAAGCGCACGUAGGCGGACUAUUAAGUCAGGGGUGAAAUCCCGGGGCUCAACCCCGGAACUGCCUUUGAUACUGGUAGUCUAGAGUCCGGAAGAGGUGAGUGGAAUUCCGAGUGUAGAGGUGAAAUUCGUAGAUAUUCGGAGGAACACCAGUGGCGAAGGCGGCUCACUGGUCCGGUACUGACGCUGAGGUGCGAAAGCGUGGGGAGCAAACAGG
rnacentral:rRNA from 1 species